rnacentral:tRNA from 1 species
GGACAGGUAGCGAAGCGGCCAAACGCACUUGAUUGUAAAUCAAGCACUUCGGUUUCAGUGGUUCGAAUCCACUCCUGUCCACCA